rnacentral:lncRNA from 1 species
CUAAGGCAAUAUAUUGUACAUGACUGAAAAAUCUAAUAUGGAAAGGCGAGUGGUAACAAGGUAGAUCCUUAAGUGGCUGCUGAUGAGAUGAGAAAUUCCUCUUUAUACAAAAUGCACAAAAAGGAGCAUUUUGAUCAGACCAACAAAUUGCUUCAUUUUUGUCCUGCCUUUGUCAGAUAGAGAAAAAAGACUUAGUUGUUCUGAAGAUUAUGUAGCAACAGAGAAAAAAGACAGAAAAAAAUAUAAAGUACUUUUGGAAUCAAAUAACAGUUAAAAUGUUUUUAGUUUUAAUUCUUUU